rnacentral:rRNA from 1 species
CAGACGUAUCGGCAAAAGUUCCCAUGAG